rnacentral:misc_RNA from 1 species
AAGUCGUAACAAGGUCUCCGUUGGUGAACCAGCGGAGGGAUCAUUACAGGACUCGCAAGACUCCUACAACCCUGUGAACUUAACUAUAAGCACGUUGCUUCGGCGGGUGUCUCGGCGAGGGUCCUCCCUCCCCGGGGCGCUAAGCCCGCCGGCAGCCUACUAUAUACUCUGUCUCUUUGCGUUGGCAUCUCGAGUACAAUCAAACAAGUUAAAACUUUCAACAACGGAUCUCUUGGUUCUG